UCCCCCUUAGCUCAGUGGUAGAGCGCGUCACUAGUAUUGGCUAUGACGAGGUCAGUCGUUCAAGUCGGCUAGGGGGAA